CACGGAGCGGCUGCUGCUGCGAUCACCUGAGCGACAGAGAGAUGAAGCGCCUCCAGCAAGAAAGCCAGAUUCUCUGCAAAGCUUCCCUGAAACGAAAAACAGGUGGAGCUGCCGCGUUAUUUCUUUCAGCGCUAUUCUGUCGUCCGUCUGCAGGAGACCUGCGGCAAACAGGGA